rnacentral:lncRNA from 1 species
GAACUCACAUCUACCCACCUUCUGCAGGAAUGAGAUGGCCUUCCUUCCCCGUAGAGACUAUGACCCCUCUGACUUUCUCCCUUCUUCUGCAGUAACUGGGUUGUACCUCUCCCCAGUGGAGCUUAUGUGCACAGCUCAGACUUCCAUCUCCCUCUUCCAUGGUAUUCAGGCAGUCUCACCAUCCCUGCAGAGAUAUGGGGCGUAAGCCUGUUCUCCACCCCAUCCCAGUAUCAGGAGGCACCGCUAUCUACUGAAGCCUGUGGGUGUCACUCUGCCAUUCAUUUCUGACCAGUUUUAAUGUGUGGUACCAGCCCCAUUUCUCCUUUGGCUUUUCAGCAGAGUAUUUUUGAAAGAAGCAGGAAUUGACUGGACAGAGCUUUUGAUCAAAUGUUA